UACGUAGGGUCCGAGCGUUGUCCGGAAUUAUUGGGCGUAAAGAGCUCGUAGGCGGUUUGUCGCGUCUGCUGUGAAAUCCCGAGGCUCAACCUCGGGUCUGCAGUGGGUACGGGCAGACUGGAGUGCGGUAGGGGAGAAUGGAAUUCCUGGUGUAGCGGUGGAAUGCGCAGAUAUCAGGAGGAACACCGGUGGCGAAGGCGGAUCUCUGGGCCUUACCUGACGCUCAGGUGCGAAAGCUAGGGGAGCGAACAGG
rnacentral:rRNA from 1 species